CGCGUAGGCGGCCCUGCAAGUCCGAUGUGAAAUCCCUCGGCUCAACCGGGGACCCGCGUCGGAAACUGCAGGGCUUGAGUGCAGGAGAGGAGAGCGGAAUUCCCAGUGUAGCGGUGAAAUGCGUAGAUAUUGGGAGGAACACCGGUGGCGAAGGCGGCUCUCUGGACUGCUACUGACGCUGAGGCGCGAAAGCUAGGGGAGCAAACGGGAUUAGAUACCCCGGUAGUCCUAGCCGUAAACGUUGGGCACUAGGUGUGGGAGGUAUCGACCCCUUCCGUGCCGCAGCUAACGCAUUAAGUCGCCCCGCCUGGGGAGUACGGCCGCAAGGUUGAA
rnacentral:rRNA from 1 species